GCAGAGCCACCUCAGCCCUGUCACCCUGCGCGUGUCUCUGCCAUGCUUCCUUGGAUCCCUAUCUACCCCGUUUUGGGUGACAGGACGAGUUGGGCCAGUUACCAGCCUGAGUCGAAGCUGUUAAAGAGGCCAAGAAUUCCCAAGCUUUCCCAGGCAAACGGGGAAGAACACUGGGAUGCCUUUUCCUCCUCCUCUGUCCAUCUGCAGGCCAAGUGUGCAUCAGUCACAGGCAAACUCUGAAUUGAGCUUUGUGCAAGUCUCUGGAAAGAGACCCAAGAUCGUGUGAUGAGCAAAAGUGACAGUGCUGGAGGCAGCGACAUCUGCAGAGCCAGCCCCAUCCCUAUCUGCAGCAGAAUAUGUAUGGGGAUCCUUUAUGUGAACAAUCCACCCAGGGUAGAAUGGGGCUUUUGACAUCAGCUGAGACCCAGGCGGCCUUACAAUGAGAGGGCUGUUGGUCAAAGGAAGGACUGUUUAAUGAACUGAGAAUCUGAGGCCAGCUCUGGCCAUCUGCACUUGGAAUCAUUAGAGCAACUCUACUGUAACUGGCAACCUUGAAUAAUGCAGCAAAUUCAUAUUCCAAAAUUGUGAACUUUAAAAUUUUGUGUUUGUGUCUAUGAUGAAAAGCAUUAUAUAAACAUUUGAUACUACAAUUUUAUUAGUAAGGAAGGCUGAAAAAGUAUCUCUCUUUUGACUCUGAGGUCAAUAAUGAUAAUGGCUUUUCCCCUACACUGGGAUAGAAAUGUUCUGUCAAGGAUAUGAAAACACUUUAUGAAAAUGAAAUUCAUUAAAGCCCUUAAUAAUCAGGUAGGGAAGGCAGGUGCUCACAAUUGUCACCUGUUGGUGAGUGAACACCUUAGGCUCGGGGAGGACAAUGACUCAAG
rnacentral:lncRNA from 1 species